AACGAACACUGGCGGCGUGGAUUAGGCAUGCAAGUCGAACGAGAACGUUCUCUUCGGAGAACUAGUACAGUGGCGAACGGGUGAGUAACGGGUGGAAAACCUGCCCUUCAAUGGGGGAUAACAGUUCUAACGAGCUGCUAAUACCGCAUACGACCUUCUGACCGCCUGGUCUAAAGGUGAAAGGUGGCGAUCUCUUCGGAGAGCUGCCGUUGAAGGAUGGUUCCGCCUCCCAUUAGCUAGUUGGUGGGGUAAUGGCCUACCAAGGCGACGAUGGGUAGCCGGCCUGAGAGGGUGACCGGCCACACUGGGACUGAGAUACGGCCCAGACUCCUACGGGAGGCAGCAGUCGAGAAGCAUCCGCAAUGGGCGAAAGCCUGACGGUGCGACGCCGCGUGAGUGAAGAAGGCCCUAUGGGUUGUAAAACUCUGUCAGAUUGGGAAGAAAGCAAUGCGGUUAAUACCCGUGUUGUUUGACGGUACCAUCAGAGGAAGCACCGGCUAACUCCGUGCCAGCAGCCGCGGUAAUACGGAGGGUGCAAGCGUUGUUCGGAUUCACUGGGUAUAAAGGGUGCGCAGGCGGUCUGAUAAGUCAGAGGUGAAAUAUGUCGGCUCAACCGGCAAACGGCCCCUGAAACUGUCAGACUUGAGUUAGAGAGAGGUAAGUGGAAUUCCAGGUGUAGCGGUGAAAUGCGUAAAUAUCUGGAGGAACACCGGUGGCGAAGGCGGCUUACUGGCUCUAUACUGACGCUCAGGCACGAAAGCAUGGGGAGCGAACGGGAUUAGAUACCCCGGUAGUCCAUGCCGUAAACGAUGGGUACUAGGUGUUGGGGGAUUCUACCCCCUCAGUGCCGCAGCUAACGCAUUAAGUACCCCACCUGGGGAGUACGAUCGCAAGGUUGAAACUCAAAGGAAUUGACGGGGGCCCGCACAAGCGGUGGAGCAUGUGGUUUAAUUCGAUGCAACGCGAAGAACCUUACCACUCCUUGACAUCCUCGGAACUUGUCAGAAAUGACUUGGUGCCUUCGGGAACCGAGUGACAGGUGCUGCAUGGCUGUCGUCAGCUCGUGUCGUGAGAUGUUGGGUUAAGUCCCGUAACGAGCGCAACCCUUGUCCUUAGUUGCUAACAUUUAGUUGAGAACUCUAAGGAGACUGCCGGUGACAAACCGGAGGAAGGUGGGGAUGACGUCAAGUCAUCAUGGCCCUUACGGAGUGGGCUACACACGUGCUACAAUGGGCAGUACAGAGGGUCGCCAAGCCGCGAGGUGGAGCUAAUCUCAGAAAGCUGUUCAUAGUCCGGAUUGGAGUCUGCAACUCGACUCCAUGAAGUCGGAAUCGCUAGUAAUCGCGGAUCAGAAUGCCGCGGUGAAUACGUUCCCGGGCCUUGUACACACCGCCCGUCACACCAUGGGAGUGGGUUGCUCCAGAAGUGGCUAGUCUAACCUUCGGGAGGACGGUCACCACGGAGUGAUUCAUGACUGGGGUGA
rnacentral:rRNA from 1 species